rnacentral:rRNA from 1 species
UACGAAGGGGGCUAGCGUUGCUCGGAAUCACUGGGCGUAAAGGGUGCGUAGGCGGGUCUUUAAGUCAGAGGUGAAAUCCUGGAGCUCAACUCCAGAACUGCCUUUGAUACUGAGGGUCUUGAGUAUGACAGAGGUGAGUGGAACUGCGAGUGUAGAGGUGAAAUUCGUAGAUAUUCGCAAGAACACCAGUGGCGAAGGCGGCUCACUGGGUCAUUACUGACGCUGAGGCACGAAAGCGUGGGGAGCAACAGGGA